rnacentral:rRNA from 1 species
UACGAAGGUCCCAAGCGUUAUCCGGAUUUAUUGGGUUUAAAGGGUGCGUAGGCGGGCUGUUAAGUCAGUGGUGAAAGCUCCAUGCCUAACAUGGAAAAUGCCAUUGAUACUGACGGUCUUGAGUACAUUUGAAGUGGGCGGAAUGUGUCAUGUAGCGGUGAGAUGCUUAGAUAUGACACAGAACACCGAUUGCGUAGGCAGCUCACUAAACUGUAACUGACGCUGAGGCACGAAAGCGUGGGGAGCAAACAGG